GGAUGUGUGAAAAAGUGUGUAAGCAAAAAUAUCAAUGGCAACAUUGUGUCGAUACAAGCACAUGCAUAUGCAUAUAUAUUCACAAAUUUGUGUACAAACAUAUUAAACGCGGAAAUGGCGCUGAACGACGAGCAUCUCGUAUCGCUAGUACAAGACAAAAAGGAACUCUACGACAAGAGCAAUCCUCUAUAUAAGUUCCAGGGAAGGAAAACGUUGAUAUGGGAAUAGAUCCGAAAGGAGCUGCGCACAAGUGGUGAGGUAUGCAGACGGAGGUGGUUAGCUCUUCGCGAUCGGUAUGGCAGAGAAGCCAGAAAAUCAGAAACACCAUCAGGCAGUGGAGCAGAAUACCAGAGGCCGUGGUAUCUGCUUGAAAGCAUGUCAUUUUUAAGGCCGCAUGUUAUUCCUCGACCGUGCUCACAAAAUGUGUGCCCAGAAGUAGCUUCGCUUACACCUUCAAUUGCUACUUCUAUGCCCUCACCGUUGCCAUCAAUAGUGCCACCAGAAGAGUUUUUUGAUGAUGUAGAUUCACCAUUGCCAUCAACAUCAGCGUCAUCUCCGUCACUUGCUCCACUCCAGUCAAAGCGACCUAGCGGAAAAAAACGGAUAAAACCUUCUGCACUUUUUUGGUCCUUGUAUUUUUUAUAUAUAAUAUAUAUGUAUGUAGUUGAAAUAAAUUAAGA